rnacentral:rRNA from 1 species
AACGAACGCUGGCGGCAUGCCUAACACAUGCAAGUCGAACGAGACCUUCGGGUCUAGUGGCGCACGGGUGCGUAACGCGUGGGAACCUGCCCUUAGGUUCAGAAUAACUCCCCGAAAGGGGUGCUAAUACCGGAUAAUGUCUUCGGACCAAAGAUUUAUCGCCUUUGGAUGGGCCCGCGUUGGAUUAGCUCGUUGGUAGGGUAAAAGCCUACCAAGGCGACGAUCCAUAGCUGGUCUGAGAGGAUGAUCAGCCACACUGGGACUGAGACACGGCCCAGACUCCUACGGGAGGCAGCAGUGGGGAAUAGUGGAAAAUGGGCGAAAGCCUGAUCCAGCAAGGCCGCGUGAGUGAUGAAGGCCUUAGGGUUGUAAAGCUCUUUUACCCGGGAUGAUAAUGACAGUACCGGGAGAAUAAGCGCCGGCUAACUCCGUG